GAAAACCAAAAAUCGGAGGAAAAAUUUCUUAGUCUCCAGGGUUUGGGUUGUAAGAAAAUGGAUUCCCGGGCGUGCAUGAAUGAGGUUUGUGGGGCAUCUUCAUCGUCAUCGACGUCAAUUGAAUGGAAAAAGGGUUGGCCUCUGCGAUCCGGUGGAUUUGCCACUCUUUGUGCUAAGUGCGGGACUGCCUUUGAGCAAUUAGUCUUCUGUGAAAUGUUUCACUCAAAGGAAACUGGUUGGAGGAAGUGAAAUUCAUGCGACAAGGUGAGC